rnacentral:tRNA from 1 species
GCUCCCAUGGCGUAGUGGUCACUGCACUCGCCUUGCACGCGGGAGACCCGGGUUCAAUUCCCGGAGGGGUCA